rnacentral:rRNA from 1 species
UGGGGAAUAUUGCACAAUGGGGGAAACCCUGAUGCAGCGACGCCGCGUGAACGAAGAAGGUAUUCGUAUCGUAAAGUUCUGUCCUAUGGGAAGAUAAUGACAGUACCAUAGAAGAAAGCUCCGGCUAAAUACGUGCCAGCAGCCGCGGUAAUACGUAUGGAGCGAGUGUUGUCCGGUAUUAUUGGGCGUAAAGGGUACGCAGGCGGUUUAAUAAGUCGAAUGUUAAAGAUCGGGGCUCAACCCCGCAAAGCAUUGGAAACUGAUAAACUUGAGUAGUGGAGAGGAAAGUGGAAUUCCUAGUGUAGUGGUGAAAUACGUAGAUAUUAGGAGGAAUACCAGUAGCGAAGGCGACUUUCUGGACUCAAACUGACGCUGAGGUACGAAAGCGUGGGGAGCAAACAGG